rnacentral:rRNA from 1 species
AGUGAACGCUGGCGGUAUGCCUAACACAUGCAAGUCGAACGGCAGCACAGUAAGAUCUUGCUUUUACGGUUGGCGAGUGGCGGACGGGUGAGGAAUACAUCGCAAUCUACUUUUUCGUGGGUGAUAACGUAGGGAAACUUCCGCUAAUACCGCAUACGACCUACGGGUGAAAGCAAGGGUUCUUCGCACCUUUCCCGUUUCAAUGAGCCGAUGUCGGAUUAGCUAGUUGGCGGGGUAAAGGCCCACCAAGGCGACGAUCCGUAGCUGGUCUGAGAGGAUGAUCAGCCACACUGGAACUGAGACACGGUCCAGACUCCUACGGGAGGCAGCAGUAGGGAAUAUUGGACAAUGGGCGCAAGCCUGAUCCAGCAAUACCGCGUGGGUGAAGAAGGCCUUCGGGUUGUAAAGCACUUUUGUUGGGAAAGAAAAGCAGCAGGUUAAUACACGGAUGUUCUGACGGUACCCAAAGAAUAAGCACCGGCUAACUUCGUG